UCGCCCGUAGUUUAACUGGCAAAACUCCGGCCUCUGGAGUCGGCGUUCUUGGUUCAAAUCCAGGCGGGCGAGC
rnacentral:tRNA from 2 species